AACGAACGCUGGCGGCAUGCCUAACACAUGCAAGUCGAACGAGACCUUCGGGUCUAGUGGCGCACGGGUGCGUAACGCGUGGGAACCUGCCCUUAGGUCCGGAAUAACUCCCCGAAAGGGGUGCUAAUACCGGAUAAUGUCUUCGGCCCAAAGAUUUAUCGCCUUUGGAUGGGCCCGCGUUGGAUUAGCUAGUUGGUAGGGUAAAAGCCUACCAAGGCGACGAUCCAUAGCUGGUCUGAGAGGAUGAUCAGCCACACUGGGACUGAGACACGGCCCAGACUCCUACGGGAGGCAGCAGUGGGGAAUAGUGGAAAAUGGGGGAAAGGAUGAUCCAGCAAGGACGGGUGAGUGAUGAAGGCAGUAGGGUUGUAAAGCUCUUUUAACCGGGAUGAUAAUGACAGUACCGGGAGAAUAAGCUCCGGCUAACUCCGUG
rnacentral:rRNA from 1 species